rnacentral:rRNA from 1 species
AUACGGAGGAUCCGAGCGUUAUCCGGAUUUAUUGGGUUUAAAGGGUGCGCAGGCGGGGGAUUAAGUCGGCGGUGAAAAUUUUCAGCUUAACCGUUAAAGUGCCUUUGAAACUGGUUUCCUUGAGUGUAGUUGAAGUAGGCGGAAUUUGUGGUGUAGCGGUGAAAUGCAUAGAUAUCACGAGGAACUCCGUUUGCGCAGGCAGCUUUCGAAACUUCUACUGACGCACAGGCACGAAGGCGUUGGGAUCAAACAGGAUUAGAUACCCUGGUAGUCCACGCAGUAAACGAUGAUUACUAGCUGUUUGCGAUACAAUGUAAGCGGCUGAGCGAAAGCGUUAAGUAAUCCACCUGGGGAGUACGUUCGCAAGAAUGAAACUCAAAUGAAUUGACGGGG